rnacentral:rRNA from 1 species
AGUGAACGCUGGCGGUAGGCCUAACACAUGCAAGUCGAACGGCAGCACAGUAAGAGCUUGCUCUUACGGGUGGCGAGUGGCGGACGGGUGAGGAAUACAUCGGAAUCUACUUUUUCGUGGGGGAUAACGUGGGGAAACUUACGCUAAUACCGCAUACGACCUACGGGUGAAAGCAGGGGAUCUUCGGACCUUGCGCGAUUGAAUGAGCCGAUGUCGGAUUAGCUAGUUGGCGGGGUAAAGGCCCACCAAGGCGACGAUCCGUAGCUGGUCUGAGAGGAUGAUCAGCCACACUGGAACUGAGACACGGUCCAGACUCCUACGGGAGGCAGCAGUGGGGAAUAUUGGACAAUGGGCGCAAGCCUGAUCCAGCCAUACCGCGUGGGUGAAGAAGGCCUUCGGGUUGUAAAGCCCUUUUGUUGGGAAAGAAAAGCAGCAGGCUAAUACCCCGCUGUUCUGACGGUACCCAAAGAAUAAGCACCGGCUAACUUCGUG